UGCCGACAUCUCAGUGUGCGAAUUUGUAUCAGCAGAUGACCAAGCAUUAUCAGCAGAUAGAGAAUUAGCAGCGACAGCCGAAGAAGCAGGUGAGCGAGCAUCAACAGAGAGAGCAUCAGUGGAAACUGCAGUAGCAGUUGGCGCCGAAAAGUCAGCUGCCUGUGUGUAUCAGCGGAUGACCAAGCGACAUUCGAAGAACAAGCAGCACGAGAAGUAUGCGACGAGAGAAAAAGAGCGCGAUUAGCUGCAAUAAUUUCUUUUACAGCUGCGUUAUCACUGCCAAACUUCUCAACAGCAACACCAAUAGAGGAGCGAAGGUCUUUAACCUCUGCCAUGAGUAAGGCAAUCGUAUCAUCUUUCUCAAGCAGAUUGCGCUGCAUGGAAAGAAGAUCUGAGUGAAUGUUUUCAGUUUUUAACAAUAAAUUAUUGUUAUCUUCCCGUAAAGCACUGAUCAGAUUAUUCACGCGGGCAUUCUCAUUUCGAAGAGCGACAACCACAUUGUAUAGAGAUCCCAAUGUAACUUGUUGCUUAUUGAGUUAGAAGAGUUCGAAGAGAUAGAUUUGGUGAUAUUAGAAGUUUUUGAAUUUUCAUCCACGACAACGGGCGGAGGAGGCGAACGGAGGGAAUCACGACGAGCUUCAGAAGAGCCUUUACAAAUGAAGCUCUUGUCUGAGCUGAACAAAAAUUCUGCAUCUGCCGAAAACACAAGAGUCACUGUCUCAAUCAAUAUCGUGUUUUCAUCAUUGCAAAAAAGCAAAUACAUAAAAGAGUCACUGUCACAAUAGUUAAGCUGAUAUUAUGAUUAAAAUCGAAGAGCGAAGAAAAACACGUCCGCACAGCACGAAACGUUUGAUUAAAUUCACAAGGUAUACCACCAGCAUGAUGGAAAAUAAGUUUACCAAAAAUGGAUCCGCUACACUCAGAAAAGAAACACUUUAAAGUCACUUUAAAUCCAGUACAAGGAACUUUAAAAUUAUGAAAACCAGCCGUAUUGAAAAAUAUUUAAUCUUAAAGUUAACACUUUAAAAUGUAAAUUAUU